AUUGAACGCUGGCGGCAUGCCUUACACAUGCAAGUCGAACGGCAGCACGGGGGCAACCCUGGUGGCGAGUGGCGAACGGGUGAGUAAUACAUCGGAACGUGCCCCGUACGCGGGGGACGAACCAAGUCGAAAGAACUGGCUAAUACCGCAUACGCUCCACGGAGGAAAGACAGGGGAGUCGCAAGACCUUGCACUAUGGGAGCGGCCGAUGCCCGAUUAGCUAGUUGGU
rnacentral:rRNA from 1 species